rfam:Dinoroseobacter shibae DFL 12 plasmid pDSHI01, complete sequence.
CUUUCUCACCCGGGGGGUCCCGACAAGGGGCUGAGAAACUGAUGGUGCGGCAACGCAUAGCGCAGUGACCCGACGAACCUGAUCCAGUUCAUACUGGCGUAGGGAUGGUGUUCGGCUGUGCGG